rnacentral:lncRNA from 1 species
UUCUAGGACUAUCUUUAUUAUCAAGAUAAUACCCCACACAUAGGUCUAAUGUUGUGAGAGUAAGAUCUCAUAUCCAUUCCUAUUUCCAUAUGAUUGUUGACAUCCAAAAAGGUUGUUAAAGGUCUGGUUAAAAAACUAGAAUUUAACUCGAGAACAAUAAAUCAUUUGACUCUUUGUCGAGUGCACAUCCCCUCGUGGGUUUGAUACCCAGGGUCACUCCUAGGGAAAAGGUAAGGGAACCUUCUACUAUCCAAAUAGUGUCUCAAAGGGCAUUGGUAUCCUUUGCUGCCUCUGUUGGGGGUGUGUCUGGGUCCAAGUCCACCACUUGGUAUGCUCUAGGAAGGGAGCGUAAGGGAGGCACACUCAAGAUCUCACCAUAAACUUUUGGUGCCACACACGGCGGAACAUAUGAGGUCGGUGCACCCAGCACUGAUGAGCUCGCUCGAACUGGUUGGGCCUGAUGGCCUGACUGGUUUCUUCCUCUGCCCAAGACGCAAAGAGGUCCGUCAACAAGUUCUCCCUAAUAAGAAAAUAAGGAAAAUCAUGUCAACUCACUUUCCAAUUGGCCAUCGCUUGGCUGGCCGUUUCUCCUGCCGCAUCACAGUAGUGGAUGCUCCUGGCACCGCGGUGAAGCCAACC